rnacentral:rRNA from 1 species
UGGGCCGCAACUGACACUGAGGGACGAAAGCUAGGGGAGCGAAUGGGAUUAGAUACCCCAGUAGUCCUAGCUGUAAACGAUGGAAACUAGGUGUUGCCUGUAUCGACCCAGGCAGUGCCGUAGCUAACGCGUUAAGUUUCCCGCCUGGGGAGUACGCACGCAAGUGUGAAACUCAAAGGAAUUGACGGGGGCCCGCACAAGCGGUGGAGUAUGUGGUUUAAUUCGAUGCAACGCGAAGAACCUUACCAGGACUUGACAUGUCCGGAACUCCGGGGAAACUCGGAGGUGCCUUCGGGAGCCGGAACACAGGUGGUACAUGGCUGUCGUCAGCUCGUGUCGUGAGAUGUUGGGUUAAGUCCCGCAACGAGCGCAACCCUCGUUCUUAGUUGCCAUCAUUAAGUUGGGCACUCUAGGGAGACUGCCGGUGACAAACCGGAGGAAGGUGGGGAUGACGUCAAGUCAUCAUGCCCCUUACGUCCUGGGCUACACACGUACUACAAUGGCAAGGACAGAGGGCAGCCACUUCGCGAGGAGGAGCUAAUCCCGAAAACCUGGCCUCAGCUCAGAUUGCAGGCUGCAACUCGCCUGCAUGAAGGAGGAAUCGCUAGUAAUCGCAGGUCAGCAUACUGCGGUGAAUCCGUUCCCGGGCCUUGCACACACCGCCCGUC